rnacentral:rRNA from 1 species
GACGAACGCUGGCGGCGUGCUUAACACAUGCAAGUCGAACGGCAGCACGGACUUCGGUCUGGUGGCGCGUGGCGAACGGGUGAGUAAUAUAUCGGAACGUGCCCAGUCGUGGGGGAUAACGUAGUGAAAAUUACGCUAAUACCGCAUACGAUCUAAGGAUGAAAGCGGGGGAUCGCAAGACCUCGCGCGAUUGGAGCGGCCGAUAUCAGAUUAGGUAGUUGGUAGGGUAAAGGCCUACCAAGCCAACGAUCUGUAGCUGGUCUGAGAGGACGACCAGCCACACUGGAACUGAGACACGGUCCAGACUCCUACGGGAGGCAGCAGUGGGGAAUUUUGGACAAUGGGCGCAAGCCUGAUCCAGCCAUUCCGCGUGCAGGAUGAAGGCACUCGGGUUGUAAACUGCUUUUGUACAGAACGAAAAGGUUUCUACUAAUACUAGGAGCUCAUGACGGUACUGUAAGAAUAAGCACCGGCUAACUACGUGCCAGCCGCCGCCGUAA